GUUAAGCGACUAAGCGUACACGGUGGAUGCCCUGGCAGUCAGAGGCGAUGAAGGACGUGCUAAUCUGCGAUAAGCGUCGGUAAGGUGAUAUGAACCGUUAUAACCGGCGAUUUCCGAAUGGGGAAACCCAGUGUGUUUCGACACACUAUCAUUAACUGAAUCCAUAGGUUAAUGAGGCGAACCGGGGGAACUGAAACAUCUAAGUACCCCGAGGAAAAGAAAUCAACCGAGAUUCCCCCAGUAGCGGCGAGCGAACGGGGAGCAGCCCAGAGCCUGAAUCAGUGUGUGUGUUAGUGGAAGCGUCUGGAAAGGCGCGCGAUACAGGGUGACAGCCCCGUACACAAAAAUGCACAUGCUGUGAGCUCGAUGAGUAGGGCGGGACACGUGGUAUCCUGUCUGAAUAUGGGGGGACCAUCCUCCAAGGCUAAAUACUCCUGACUGACCGAUAGUGAACCAGUACCGUGAGGGAAAGGCGAAAAGAACCCCGGCGAGGGGAGUGAAAAAGAACCUGAAACCGUGUACGUACAAGCAGUGGGAGCACGCUUAGGCGUGUGACUGCGUACCUUUUGUAUAAUGGGUCAGCGACUUAUAUUCUGUAGCAAGGUUAACCGAAUAGGGGAGCCGAAGGGAAACCGAGUCUUAACUGGGCGUUAAGUUGCAGGGUAUAGACCCGAAACCCGGUGAUCUAGCCAUGGGCAGGUUGAAGGUUGGGUAACACUAACUGGAGGACCGAACCGACUAAUGUUGAAAAAUUAGCGGAUGACUUGUGGCUGGGGGUGAAAGGCCAAUCAAACCGGGAGAUAGCUGGUUCUCCCCGAAAGCUAUUUAGGUAGCGCCUCGUGAAUUCAUCUCCGGGGGUAGAGCACUGUUUCGGCAAGGGGGUCAUCCCGACUUACCAACCCGAUGCAAACUGCGAAUACCGGAGAAUGUUAUCACGGGAGACACACGGCGGGUGCUAACGUCCGUCGUGAAGAGGGAAACAACCCAGACCGCCAGCUAAGGUCCCAAAGUCAUGGUUAAGUGGGAAACGAUGUGGGAAGGCCCAGACAGCCAGGAUGUUGGCUUAGAAGCAGCCAUCAUUUAAAGAAAGCGUAAUAGCUCACUGGUCGAGUCGGCCUGCGCGGAAGAUGUAACGGGGCUAAACCAUGCACCGAAGCUGCGGCAGCGACGCUGAUGCGUUGUUGGGUAGGGGAGCGUUCUGUAAGCCUGCGAAGGUGUGCUGUGAGGCAUGCUGGAGGUAUCAGAAGUGCGAAUGCUGACAUAAGUAACGAUAAAGCGGGUGAAAAGCCCGCUCGCCGGAAGACCAAGGGUUCCUGUCCAACGUUAAUCGGGGCAGGGUGAGUCGACCCCUAAGGCGAGGCCGAAAGGCGUAGUCGAUGGGAAACAGGUUAAUAUUCCUGUACUUGGUGUUACUGCGAAGGGGGGACGGAGAAGGCUAUGUUGGCCGGGCGACGGUUGUCCCGGUUUAAGCGUGUAGGCUGGUUUUCCAGGCAAAUCCGGAAAAUCAAGGCUGAGGCGUGAUGACGAGGCACUACGGUGCUGAAGCAACAAAUGCCCUGCUUCCAGGAAAAGCCUCUAAGCAUCAGGUAACAUCAAAUCGUACCCCAAACCGACACAGGUGGUCAGGUAGAGAAUACCAAGGCGCUUGAGAGAACUCGGGUGAAGGAACUAGGCAAAAUGGUGCCGUAACUUCGGGAGAA
rnacentral:rRNA from 1 species